rnacentral:rRNA from 1 species
AUGAGGCCAUCGCAAGCUCUCUCGCUUCUUGUUGUUGUCCUCCUCCGUGCCUCAUCCAGUGCUUCCAUCCUAGAAGACACGUGCAGGCGCUUCGACGGUGCUGACAUCUAUGAUAUCUGCAUCAAGUUCUUCAAGGCCAACAAGGACAGCGCCACCACGGACAAGCGUGGCCUUGCUGUCAUCGCCACUGGGAUUGCCAGUGUGACAGCUGUGGACACCCGCAAGCGCAUCGCCACCCUGAAGGCCGAGAAAAAGGACCAGAUGAUCCAGCAGGUCCUCGCGUACUGUGACAAUGUGUACUCCAGAGCUGUGGGCCUAUUUGAUAAGGCUGCCAGGGGCAUAUCGUCGGGCAGAUUGGGUGACGCGGUGACGAGCCUUAGCUCCGCGCUGGACAUUCCCAAAUAUUGCGAUGAUGAGUUCCUCGAGGCAGGUGUGAAGUCGCCGUUUGAUGCCGAGAAUGGCGAGUUCGAGAUGCAAUGUGCCAUCACUCUGGGUGUAACGAAGUUGCUAACCAUGUAG